GUGCAUGGGCCGUUCUUAGUUCGUGGAGUGAUCUGUCUGCUUAAUUGCGUUUCAAAACAACUGAUACACAGAGUCUUGGCACAGUUCAGUUUAAUGGCGUCGAGUAUCUUUGAUUUCGACAGUAGUCCAACUCGGUUCGCCAGGGUCUCUUUUGAACGCAACGGACGUGAUCGCAACCCUUUGUUGAGUGAUGUCAGCACUCUACGUCUAUCCUAGCUCGUUGAUCGCAAGUGAGAGUUGGGUGGGCAAACUCAGGGGACAGCUUCAACUAUUCUUCUUCAAACUAGAGGAAGGUUGCGGCAAUAACAGGUCUGUGAUGCCCUCAGAUGUUCUAGGCUGCACACGUGCUACAUUGAUCAGCACAAUGCGAUACAUUUCGAAAGGAAACAUCGGUUUUAAGGUAACGUCGAUUGCCUACCGAUAGCACCUGGUCCCCAGUGGACUGGGCAAUCUCUUCUAAAUGCUGGUAAGGUACCCACACUCGAGCUAUUUAAUCACACGCGGGAGGCACACACGGUUCAAAUCUCAUUUGCGACUGUUGCCGCCAUGACGUAUGCAACUUGUCAAUUCUUCGUGGGGAUCGUCGAUUGCAACUAUUCGACUCGCCACAACUAGGAAUGCCU
rnacentral:rRNA from 1 species